rnacentral:rRNA from 1 species
CCUACGGGAGGCAGCAGUGAGGAAUAUUGGUCAAUGGGCGGAAGCCUGAACCAGCCAAGUCGCGUGAGGGAAUAAGGCCCUACGGGUCGUAAACCUCUUUUGCCGGGGAGCAAGGGCGGGGACGUGUCCCGGCCCGGAGAGUACCCGGAGAAAAAGCAUCGGCUAACUCCGUGCCAGCAGCCGCGGUAAUACGGAGGAUGCGAGCGUUAUCCGGAUUUAUUGGGUUUAAAGGGUGCGUAGGCGGGCUUUUAAGUCAGCGGUAAAAAUUCGGGGCUCAACCCCGUCCGGCCGUUGAAACUGGGGGCCUUGAGUGGGCGAGAAGAAGGCGGAAUGCGUGGUGUAGCGGUGAAAUGCAUAGAUAUCACGCAGAACCCCGAUUGCGAAGGCAGCCUUCCGGCGCCCUACUGACGCUGAGGCACGAAAGUGCGGGGA